UGGCCCUCAGAGGUCAGGGUGGCAGGGCACUGACUCGACCCUUUUGUACUAUUUAACAUUAAUUUUUGCCAUGUGUGUAGGAUGGCUCCUUGUGAGUUAUGGCUGCUGCCUUCAAUCAGCCAUGUCUCUUCCUCCCCGACCUUUCCGUUCACGACAUACCCGGGGAGCCUCCCUCUUGUAGAAUUGAAGUUUGUGAUCCUUGAACUUGAGCUUUCUCUUCCUUUCCCUCCUCCCCAAGCAGGGGUGGGGGACAUGCGCUUAGGUGGUCUUUUGAAUCCUAUUCACAACCUCUGGAGGCUGCUUGUCCAGCAUGGUCAGGGCUGGGGUCGAGCCCAGGUGUCCCUCAGUCCCUAGUCCCAGUCAUCACUCAAGCCGUCACUCAAGCUUCUUUAGGCAGAUACUAGAGCCCCUGCCUGCUCUCACCGCUCCCCGAGGAAGGACACUCACCCACAGCUUGGUAGGAGGCCAGAAGGCUCUUAUGGAGAUGGGUGGUCCCAUCCUCAGAGAAGGCAGGUGUGUGGAAGGCCUUACGUUGUAUGCACACACAAAUGCAUGUGCGCGCGCACACACACCUCUCAGAGAAGAAUCUAUUGCUUCCCCCAUUUUGCAUAUAGUAAUAUGGAGGCAAGUUACAGACCCAAACAGGGUGUGCUCUGCAUCUUUGGUUUUUCUAGGCUAGAGAGAUUUAGGAGAGCCACAGUCUAUGGCUACAAGGAGAUGAUAAGAGAGUGAUGGCCAGGACAGAUGCAAUGUCUCAGAACUCUUAGGGUCACCUGGAGCACCUUGGGAGCCAGAGAUGCAGCCAAAGAGUGAACAAUGGUACCAAUCCCAAGACCCAUGUGUUAAGAAGAAACCAGCCAAGACUCAGAUCAGGAUUGGGGAGUCCACCCCUCGUUUCCCUUCAGAGCAUUAUUUCCUUGUUUGCUAAGAGGGGCAGGAACUGGAAAACUCAGGCUAGCCCAUCUGAGAAGACUUUCCUGGAGAUGAGCUGGAGGAGGGAGGAGUAAGGCCUUGGAAGGAAACUCCAGGACAGCACCACCUCCCCUACACUGGGACCUCGUCUCUAACUGGCAGAGUGGUCAAUGAAAAAAAGGGCAUGCCUUGGCACAUCAUGGUCAAACUGCUAAAAGCCAAAGACAAGAGAAAAUCUUUUCUUUUUUUUAAUCCCAUCCUAAAGACUAGACAGAACAAUAUUUUCAAUGUCACUCUUUUCUCAUCAAAACCAAUAUAGACCAGAAGACAGUGGAAUAUCUCUAAAAUGCUGAAGGAAAAAAAAAGUCAACUCAGAAUUGUUUUUCUAGUGAAAGUAUUCUUCCAGAAUGAAGAUGAAAUAAAGCUAUUUUCAGAUAAAAGAAAACAGAGAUUCUUGUCGCCAGCAGACCUCCACUAUGAGAAGCGCUAAAGAAAGUUCUUUAGGACGGGCACGAUAGCUCACGCCUAUAAUCCCAGCAUUUUGGGAGGCCAAGGUGGGAGGAUUGCUUGAGCUCGGAAGAUGGAGGCUGCAGUGAGCCAUGACGGUGCCACUGCACUCCAGCUUGGGUGACAGAGUGAGACGCUGUCUCAAAUUGGAAGAGCAGAGCUGCAGACAGGAAUAAGAAGAACGGUAAAUUUGAAGAUGGGACCGUCUAGUUGCAAGAAAACAAGCUCAGGGCUCCCACUGAUUCUACAUUACGGGCUGUGGGUUCCUUGAGGGAGGAAUUUUGUCCUGCAGGCUGUGGCAGCCCUAGGACUCAGCACAUCUAGGUGUCCACCUGCGUCUGUGGAAGAAGAAGAAGAAGAGGAGGAGGAGGAGGAGGAAGAAGAAAGAUGGUGAGAUAUCCUGCAGGAGACCAGGGCCAGGAGGGUGGAGGCCUCUCAAGAAGAGGGAAGCAUGAGGAAGCUCCAGGGCAGGAUGGUUUACCUGCCUGGACAGCAAGAUGAUGGCUACACUAGCCCCCAUUCUCUGGGCGCCUGGAUUUGCCCACCAGAUCUCCUCACCUCUUGCCCUUCACCUCCUGCUGUACCUACAAGGUCUCCCCGAUUCUCAUCUGCCCAUAAUCAUGGACACAGCCCCAGGAUGUGCAGGACUCUCAGGGACCAUCUGGAGUUCCAGCUGGAAUCUGGGCCUGGUGGAGUGGGAGUGGGGCAGGGGCCUGCAUUGGGCUGACUUAGAGAGCACAGUUAUUCCAUCCAUAUGGAAAUAAACAUUUUGGAUUCCUGAUCACAUCCCUGGAGUUUAAGACUCUGGCCAACCAAGUCAACUCCACAACUUUGUGUGUCCCUGGGAGGGUCUGGUGUGGGACCCACCUGUCUGUGGCCCUCGUCCCCUCCCCUGCCCUUUCUCCACUCACAUCUUGGUCCCUCUGGUGAUUAUCUCUUCCCUCUGAGGACAGAUGGAACCUGAUUUGAAUGAGGGGUAAUGGUCUUGUGAGGACCAGGACAUGGAUUGGGUGUGUGUUUAUAUGUGUGUGUGUGUAUGUGUGUGUGUGUGUGGUGGGAAUGGAAUAUCAGAGAAGGUGGUGGAGGAGGGAGGAUUGAAUUUGGAGAAUCCCUGGCUUCUAGUGUCCGCAGGGGAAACAGCAGCUCCAGCUUCCCACAGCGGUCCCCUCCCCUCUGCAGGUCGAGCUCCCACCCUCUUGGAAAUGCCUCUGAAGCUGCAUAGUCCUCCCCUGAUGCUUGUGCUCCCUUAGGGGAUCUCCAGGCCUUUGGGUGUGGUCUGGCCCCUGGAGAAGUGUGGUCGAGUGGAGGAUGGGGUCCUGCAGUGGCCAUGUUCUGGACGCCCACAUCACGGGGAGUUUUGAGGGAUUGAGCCCACUUUAGCUUGGGUCUUAAAACCACCAUGGUAAGAAGUGUCAACCUUUGGGGGAAAAAUAAAAAUAUAUAGAAAUAUUUAGAAAAACCCACCAUGGGGGCCUACAAGUUCCUGAGUCAAGGCCUCUGCCGAGACUCCACUGACCAGCAUGGUCACUGAAGGGCAUGGAGGACCGUCCUGUGGGAAGAGGCUUGGACAUGCACUGUGAACUCAAGAGCAAGGACACUGUGUUGAUCUGGAGAUGUGGGCAAUGGGCGAGUACACACGGAGCAUCCUCCUGUGCCUUGGAAUGGGACAAGGUGGAUUCCAGCAGCCCUCAGAGCUUCUGCUGGGUGGCUUUGCAAAGAAGGGGCUUUCCACUCUACUGUGGACAUCUGCAGAGAUUGGGCAGGGAAUAAGAUUUUCCAUUCAACCCUGAGUUCCUUUUUUUUUUCUAUUCCAAAUUCAUUCCAGAGCAUGUGGUAGGAUCAGUAUCACAAGCCCCUAGUUCUUGGCCAGAGCCCUAGUGACUGUCUUGUGUGCAUGGGGGGGCCAGCCGUUGCAGGAAGAUGGGUCAAGAGUCUUCAUCUGAUGAGGGCCAGGGACUUUCCAACUCCCUCAACCCUUCCCCCAGGCUCUUUUCCCACCCUCACAUUGAGCCCUCUUCACUCUGAUAGUUGGGCCCCCUAGGACUUUUAUUCUGAAAGAGCCAAGGCCCCUGGAGGUGGAGAGGAGGCCAGAGGCUGGAGCUGGCCUUGACCCUGAGCCAGCUCCACCCUUCUGGGCUGUUUUCCAAGGCAGCAACUCUGGGACCCUUGCUGUCCUCAGCUCUCCUCUUUAUCUCUGGUCUCCAGCCUUGCUGGCCUUUGAGCAGAGGGUCCCUAUAGCCAGGACUGCUGGGCUUCUCCCUCCUAUGCCUUCACACCCCUGUAUUACUGUCUUUUAUUCCUUGACCUCACAUCCUCCGUCUACUUCCUUUUUCAGCUUUUUCUGGCUUUCUUGCUGCUUGCCCUUCCCAAAGCAGACACGGAGGACAGGUCACCAUUUAGAAGCUCCCCGCCUCCCCAAGCACUGGACAAAGGUCUUACCCCAUUCCAUCCCUCAUUCCCAACACAUAGGAUGGAAGUAUCAAAUGGCCAGAUGCCUUCAGAUGUCAGAACCGUGGAGUCCGUUGAACCCUGUGUGUGGGGGGCUGUGUCUUGGGCCUGGUUUUGUUGAGCACAUGAGACUUUCUCAAGGAUAAGGACAAAGAAAUGGACAAAAAGACUCUGCCAGUAGCCCCUGUUUAAACUCUUGAACCCCAGUCACAGUUUUCCAGAAGUCCAUCAGGAUAGAAUUUUCACUAAUCGCCAAAUGCCCAAAGCUUAGUUCUUUCUUAGAAGGAAAAGAAGAGGUCAAAUGGACAGGAGAGAGCGGAGAUUGGUUGUUCUCAGGGGCUCCUUCCCUUUGCCUGCUUCUUUCAUUUGGGACGCCAGACCUUGACCUGGAAGUGAGGUCACUAUUGGGCAGUGGAGUGUGAGAAAGGACUUUGGCCUGGGGGCUGCAAGUUACAGAUUAACACGGGGAGGGGUGAGGAGGGACCCAGAGGGAGGAAAGGUGGCCAGAGGAAGGGACAGCUGACCUGGCACAAUCUGGGCUUGAAGGGGGCACAACAAGAGCGUCUGUGAGCUGGUGCUGUCUGGAGGGAUCUUGGCUCCUCUCCGGCUAUCUGACCUUCCUGAAGACCUGCUCGCACACUGCAUCCCUUGCAGUCAGUUCCUGGGGAGAGAGGGGAAGUGAGGGGGAGAGAGAAAGAGGGCGUUUGCCAGCCAGAGCCCCUUUCUCAAGGUCCUUGACCUCCAUUUACUCCUUCCGGAUACAGCAGCUUGAGUGUUUGAUGUAUGGGCAAUUGUAUCAUUAUUCCACAUCCUCAACUUUCCACCCCUCAGGAAGGAAGGUGGCUGGGUCAGGGGAUGUGAGUGGCUGAAGCCUCCAUCUCGCCAGUGAUGAUUUAUGGGCAUUCAUCCGACUCGUAGCCAGGGCCCACCUUGGCCACUCUGUUUCUUCCUCUCCCCACUCCUCCCAGUGCUUUUGCUUUCCCUCCCUGGUCAAUUCCUUGGAUAGGGAUUGGGGCUGGGCUGGGGGAAGAGUGGUGGACCUAUCUGGUUUGGACAAGGGGAUGCCUUAUAGCUGGAGGCCCUUCUCCCAGACACCCAGCCCCCACCCCAUUUACCAGAUACAGCAUCUCUCCCUCCAGCCAGUGUCUCCAGCCCCGGUUGGGGACCUCCCCUUUCUGCACACACACCAGGUGCUCCUCCUCCCAGGUUACUAUGGUCUAUAGGGGAAAGAGGGAGUAAAGAAAGAUUAGGAGGCAGGACACUCAAAAUGCUUCCCAUCUCACUCUGAAUGGGCUCCCCCUUUUACUCCACAGCAGAUACUGUCUGCUGCAGCCCCUCCACUGAGCGAGGGAGCUGCUCUGAUUCAGCAGGACUCCCUUUCCACCCUACUCUUUGUUUUUUGUGUUUUUUUGAGACAAGUUCUUGCUCUGUCACCCAGGCUGGAGUGCAGUGGCAGGAUCUCGGCUCACUGCAACCUCUGCCUCCUGGGUUCAAGUGAAUCUCAUGCCUCAGCUACCAGAGUAGCUGGGAUUACAGGCGUGCACCAACAUACCGGGUUAAUUUUUGUAUUUUUAGUAGAGACAGGGUUUCUCCAUGUUGGCCAGGCUGGACUUAAACUCCUGAGCUCAAGUGAUCCGCCCGCCACCGCUUCCUAAAGUGCUGUGACUAUAGGCAUGAACCAUCACACCCAGCUUUCCACUCCUAAAGGUCACCGAGGGGGGCCCAAAGUUGUCUACAGUGACCUUUAGGGGAGAGCAGGGGUGGUAGCAGGAUAAGUAGAGGUGAAAUUGGGGAGGGCAUUUAUGAAGAAUGGAGACUUUUUCCUCUGGAUACUUCUGGCUGACCUAGAGGGACUUUUGAGAAAAAAGAGAGAUUGGUUGGGAAUCCUACCAGGUAAUCUCAUUUCUCCUCUUUCUCGGUUUCAAGAACAGCUGAAGUAUCCUUAGAAAUAAAGGGUCAGCCCCUCUGGGCCUGAGCAUUCCAAUCAACCUUUAUUGAGUUCUCCUUUAGGAUAGGCCCCAAACAAGGAGCUCAGAGUCUUGAAGAGAUAGAGGAUCAGUAAAUAGGUAACUGUGACACCAGGCAAGAGUGAGGGAUGGCAGUGGGGCGGGCAGAGUGAAAUCUUUAAGGAAGUUGGGAGUUAAUUAGAUUGGAGAGAAUGGGAAAUUUCUAGCAAGGAAAGAAACAGCUAGAAAUAGCGGUAAAAGAGAAAGGCAAUUAGUUCUGAAGGGCUCUAACCUAGAGUAUAUGUGGUGGAGGCAAUUGAAGAGUUGAUUCACAGAGACCCUUGUAUGCUGAGUUAAGUGUAACAGAUGAUGUAAUGUAAUAGAUCAUCACUGAAAGGGUGUAAGUCAGAGAGUGACAUGAUCACAUUUAUGUUUUAAGUAGACCCUGUGGCUACAGCAUGCAGAUUAGAGGAGGGUUAAGCGUGAGAACCAGCUGGGUGCAGUGGCUUAGGCCCGUAAUCUCAGCAUUUGGGAGGCUGAGGCGGGAGAAUCACUUGAAGUCAAGAGUUUGAGACCAGCCUGGGCAACACAGUGAGACCCCACCUCUACCAAAAAAAAAAAAACACAAAAACACAAAAAAGCAAUUUCAGGCACCAGGAAAUGAAGGCCUGAAUUAGGGUGGUGAUAGAGAAAGGUUAGGAGGGAACACAGGAGAGCCAUUUAGAAGAGUGAUGCUCAACAGAAAUAAAAUGGGUCAGGAGCCAUAUUAGAAAAGUAAAGAGAAAUAGGGGAAAUUAAUUUAAAUAAUAUAUUUUAGUUAACCAAAAAUAUUCAAAAUAUUAUUAUUUCGGCAUGCAGCCAAUAUAAACAUUUCCGAAAUGCUUCUUUUUAUUUGGCAUUGUCUGAAAGUCCACUUACAGCAUCUAGAUUUGGACUAGUUAUAUUUCAAGUAUUCAACGGCCAUCUGAAGUUAGCAGCUGCUAUACUGGGUAAUGCAGAAAAGCUACAAAGAUUUCUUGGCCGAUUAGAUGUGGUGGUGGUGGUGGUGGUGGUGUGUGUGUGUGUGUGUGUGUGUGUGUGUGUGUGUGUGUGUGUGUGUGCUGGGAGCCUAGAGGUAAGGAAACAAGAGAUAUUGACCAUGACUCCCAGGUCUCUGGCCUGGCUGGUUAUUGCCAUUAGUGGAGAGAGUAGAUAUAAAAGUGGGGUAGGUUUGGAUAGGAAGACAGUGAAUUUGAAUUUGACCUUGGCAUUCAAAUGGAAAUUGGUUCCAGGACCCCCACCUCACUAAAUCUGCUGAAUAAAAUGGCUUAGUAUCUGUAGAGAAACUACAUACAUCCCCCUGUGUACUUUAUUAUUAUCAUUUUGAUACAGAGUCUUGCUCUGUCACCCAGACUAGAAUGCAAUGGCAUGAUCUUGGCUCACUGCAACCUCUGGCUCCCGGGUUCAAGUAAUUCUCCUGCCUCAGCCUCCCAAGUAGCUGGG
rnacentral:lncRNA from 1 species